AGCAAAAGGAAGAGAGGCAGCUGCAGGUCCCACAGCAGACACCCUGCAGUUCCUCUCAGAGCCUCUCUCUGUCACCAGCGUGUGGCCAGAUGCUUGGGUGGUAGCUGUUUUAAGCCCUUCAUAGGACCUUUCAUAUCUCUCGUGCUGAGGAGCCCAAAUUGAACACUCCAGUUGUGGCCUCUCCAGUGCUCCCUCAACCAGGUGACAGCCCAGGCCUUCUCUGUAAUUUAACACAAAGAAUGGACAUCCCUCAAGUAAUGUUCCUGUCUCCUUCUGGGCUUCUUUCCCAUAUGUCACGCCAGGAGAGAAGCAAUAAAUAGGCAAAGAAAGACUUUUAUAAAGACUACAGUCAUUAUUUGCUUCUGGAUGCAUGUAGAUAAAUUAAACACAAAGCAGGUGAAGCACAUCCAGAAACCCUGUCACUGCUGAUCUAGGAAUUGCAAUUAAAUCUCAACGGUUCAGUCACUCAUGAUCUUUGUAGUAGUUAAAACCCAUAGUAAGCACACAUGGUGAUAGACUGCAUCUUGUAUACAAAUGAAAGGUCAGUUGGUAGGCUAGAUUCAUUUGAAGAGUUAGUAACUACAUCUUUUUACAUAUCCCCAGUUCAUUUUCAAUGAUAAAAGUCCCAUCUCUCUACUGACUACAUUAAUGCAGUAAAACUCUAACUUGUACUGGCAACUUAUACACAGGUUUUAAUAAGGUAAUUUGUUAAGGAAUAUUUUUAAAGUAUUAGAGCUCUACAGGUGCAACAGAACAAUGAAAAUCAAGGCUUUUUGCUUUUCCUGAGCUUGGGCUGUUAAGCGUUGCUACAAAGGAAUUGUCAUCAAAUGAUGUAUUGUGCGUUCGUUAUAUUGUUCACUAUAAUUAUGAUCACAAUUAAACCUCAAAAAUUGUUACUGUCAGUUUAGGAUGUAUGACGCUGAAAAGACAGUUUGCAAUGUAUUUUGUUAUUAAUAAAGACUGGUUAAUCAUAGCCAGCUGCAGUUGAUUAGUCUGGAAAUCUCACACGUUUAGGAACGUGUCACAAAGUUGAUUCACUCAAUUUUGGGGUUGUUUUUGCAGCUACAUUUUAACUGUCUCUGUGAAAAGAACAAUCUUAAAUGUCUUUCAUCUUUCACUGUCCUUGUCCAAACCAUCUGGACCAGAUUAGGUCUUCUCUCAAACAUUUUUUUAAUGCAACUGGAAAUUUUUUGUAAUCAGA